CAUAGACAUUUUAUUUUUCUCCAUCAUCCACACUGUUCAAAGUCAUUUAGAUGAUAAUUAUGUACCCACCAGAAACUAUUGACAACAGUUCGAAUGAAUAUGGCUCCAAAUUGAGUCUUGAAGAAAUUAUCCAGCUGAAAAAAAUGGACACCGAAUAAUACGUUUUAUUAUAUUAACAAUUAAACAAUGUAAGGAUGGUAUCAAGAUGGCAUAUGAUGAAUUAAAAUGAAGAUGAUCAUGAAGAAGAUGAUCAUGAUUAUGAUCUUGUGAAGCUCCUUUCAGAACAACUAACGACACUAUCAAUGGUAAAAUUAAAUCAAAUUAGUUACCUGGGUAGCCACUUGAUUUGCCAAUUUCAGGAACUCUGGUGAACUGCUGUUGAUCAGAGAGCUAUUGAAGGUCAAUGUUAGGCUGAACUGCAGUGACAAUUGAAGUGUGGUCGGUGGAGCAUCUGUUGCUGAGGUUAACUUUGUAGCUGUUGUGUUGACUACUGUGGUACUUACGCACAUGCAUUUACACACAAACUGUUGGUGAACUGCAUCCCCUUUUGACUUCCCACACUGUUUAUCACUAUCCAGCUGAGUCUGUUCCUUUCCCUCAAGGUUAGAAACCUCUGGCAGUUUUUACUCCUUUUACCAUCUGUCCUCUGUGACCAUGGGCACACUAAAUACUCACACACAUUUCUUUCCCUCUACAGCCUCUACUAGAUUUUCUGGGACUAAUCGGACUAAUCAAUCACUACAUUGAUCAUUACAUUGAUUAUUCAUUAACCAUGCUGUAUGACUAAUAAUUCAUCAUGGUUUAUUGAUUCAUUUAGCUUUAUUAGAUAAUUCUCUUAUCAAUUCCACCCUUAAAUGAUUAAAUAAUUCACCAUGAUGAUCAAACGCUAUAUGGGAACACUACUAAUCACAUGCUAUAUGUAACACAAUUAAUCACAUGCUAUAUGUAAGCACUAUUAAUCACAUGCUAUAUGUAAACACAAUUAAUCACACGCUAUAAGUAAACACAAUUGUGAUACAAGACUUUAACAAAACCAAGACAUGAAUAUUCCUCCUAUACUCAUCAAUGACUGUCCUAGGCCUAUUUCCAAUUAUGACACUUCGAUUCAGGAUUUUCAUCAUAAUUUUCAUUAAAGGAACAGUCAAUCUAAACGUUGAAAAUUGUUUCAUCAAACAUUGGCAUCUCAUGAUAAUAAAAAGAAACGGAGCCAUCUUCCUGGCCUGGAGGGCCGCAUUCGCCAUCCCACUGAUCGGUGCUCGGAAUCGGUCCAUAUCUCACCAACUGCUGCGUCAUCGAUCUCUCGAGAGUCCUGGUGAUUAAACCUCUAGCACGGGACGAUACAACAUCCACACAACACAAACACACUCAUACAGGUGAAAGCAGCCCAUAAUACAGUUCUUACCACACUUUUCCAUUUCCCAAACAUGGGCUGUGUUAUCAGGAAUGUACGUGCAGCAAUGAACCUAAUCAUUCUACCUACACCGCCCUCUUCUGCCAAUAACAUAUCGCGAGUCAGUCUAUUUUACCCGGCCAUGAGGGAGAUGGCGGAUAAUUGGUCAGAGAACCUCUUUACUGCAUCCCCGGUUUCAUUCAUGAAUCUCUGUUGAUUAUAAAAGGUGUCAUUAAUCCAAUCCACAUUUUUAUUUAUUGUCAACCACCAAAAUAAUGUAGUGUUAAAGCCUUCACAUAUUUGAUUCACAGCUUUGUAUUCAUCUGGAACUUCCCUGAAGAUGCCAAUAGCAUCCAUCUAGACAAAGCUACUCCCAUCCUGGUCAAAACUCCUCCUGUGCCUACUUUAGCCUCCUAUAACUGGCCUCUGAUGACUAACUCGAACUGGUUGGACCUAUAACCCCACCCUUUGUGGUAAUUUGUCGUAUGCUUCCUUUGCUGGUACUAGCCCACCCUACAUCAGUUAUAGGUGCUGGGUUAGCUGGAGGAGCUGUUGUGUUAACAAUAUUUGUCGUUGAAGCUGCUGUGGUCGUUGUGGGAGCAUCUGUGGGUGUUGUGGGGAUGGCUGUGGUUGUUGUGCGAGGAUCUGUGGUUUUUGUUGGAGCAGCUGUGGUAGUUGUUGGAGACGCUGUAGUUGAUUUGGGAGCAGUUGUUGUUGUUGUUGGAGUAUCUGUGGUUGUUUUAGCCCCAAUUGUAGUUGUCGUUGGAGCUUCUGGGGUUGUUGUGGAUGUAUCUGUGGUUGUUUUGGGAGAUUCUGUGGUUAUUGUGGGAGCAGCUGUGGUUGUUGUGCGAGCAGCUGUGGUUGUUAUGCGAGCAGCUGUGGUGGUUGUGGGAGCAUCUGUGGUUGUUGUGAGAGUUGAUGUGGUUGUUGUUGGAGUAUCUGUGGUUGUUGUCGCUCCAGUUGUAGUUGUCAUUGGAGCUACUGUGGUUGUGUUGGGAGCAGAUGUGGGUGUUCUGAGGAUAGAUGUGGUUGUUGUGGGUGCAUCUGUGGUUGUUGUGGGAGAUUCUAUGGUUAUUGUGGAAACAGCUGUGGUUGUUGUGGGAGCAGCUGUGCUUGUUGUGCGAGCAGCUGUGGUUGUUGUGGGAGAAGCUGUGGUUGAUGUGGGAGCAGCUGUGGUUGUUUUAGGAGUAUCUGUUGUUGUUGUAGCCCUAAAUGUAGUUGUCGUUGGAGCUGAUGUUGUUGCUGUGGGAGAAGCUGUGGUUGUUGUGGGGACGGCUGUGUUUGUUGUGGGUGCGUCUUUGGCUGUUGUUGGAGAAGCAGUGGUUGUUGUUGGAGAAGCUGUGGUUGUUGUGGUGCUAAGGAUGUUGUGGAUGUAUCUGUGGUUGUUGUGGGAGCAACUGUCAUUGUUGUUGAGGCAGUUGUGGUUGUUGUUGGAGUAUCUGUGGUUGUUGUAGCCCCAAAUGUAUUUGUCUUUUGAGCUGCUGAAGAUGUUGUGGGAGCAUCAGUGGUUGUUGUUGGAACAUCUGGGGUUGUUGUCGGAGCAGCUGUGGUUGUUGUGGGAGCAGCUGUGGUUGUUGUGGGAGCAGCUGUGGUUGUUGUGGGAGAAGCUGUGGUUGAUGUGGGAGCAGCUGUGGUUAUUGUGUGAGCAGCUGUGUUUGUUUUGGGAGUAUCUGUAGUUCUUGUAGCCCCAAAUGUAGUUGUCGUUGGAGCUGCUAUGGUUGUUGUGGGAGAAGCUGUGGGUGAUGUGGGUGCAGCUGUGGUUGUUGUGGGAACAACUGUGGUUGUUGUGGGAGCAGCUGUGGUUGUUGUGAGAGCAGCUGUGGUUGUUGUGAGAGCAGCUUUGGUUGUUGUGGGAGCAGCUGUGUUUGUUGAGGUAUCAGCUGUGGCUGUUGGUAGAGCAGCUCUGGUUGUUGUGGGAGCAGCAAUGGUUGUUGUGGGAGAAACUGUGGUUGUUGUGGGAGAAGUAGUGGUUGUUGUUGGAGCCACUGUGGUUGUUGUGGGUGCAGAUGUGCUUGUUGUUGGAGCCACUAUGGUUGUUGUUGGAAAGUCUGGGGUUGUUGUCAGAGCAGCUGUGGUUGUUGUGGGAGCAACCGUGGUUGUUGUGGGAGCAGCUGUGGUUGCUUUGGGUGCAGAUGUGGUUGUUGUUGGAGCCACAGUGGUUGUUGUUGGAACGUCUGGGGUUGUUGUCGGAGCAUCUGUGGUUGUUGUGGGAAAAGCUGUGGUUGUUGUGGGAGUAGCUGUGGUUGUUGUGGGAGCCACUGUGUUUGUUGUAGGAGAAGCUGUGAGUGUUGGGAGAGCAUCUGUGGUUGUUAUGGGAGCAGCUGUGGUUGUUGUUGGAGCAGCUGUGGUUGUUGUUGGAGAAGCCGUGGUUGUUGUUGGAACAUAUUAGGUUGUUGUCAGAGAAGCUGUGGUUGUUUUGGGAACAGCUGUGGAUGUUGUGGGAGCAACUGUGGUUGGUGUAGGAGCAGCUGUGGAUGUUGUGGGACCAGCUGUGUUUGUUGUGGUAUCAGCUGUGGCUGUUGUUAAAGCAGAUGUGGUGGUUGUGGGAGCAUCUCUGGUUGUUGUGGUAGCAGCUGUGGCUGUUGUUAGAGCAGCUGUGGUUGUUGUGGGAGAAGCUGUGGUUGUUGUGGGAGAAGUAGUGGUUGUUGUUGGAGCCACCGUGGUUGCUGUUGGAGCCACUGUGGUUGUUUUUUGAAAGUCUGGGGUUGUUGUCGGAGCAUCUGUGGUUGUUGUGGAAACAGCUGUGAUUGUUGUGGAAGCAACCGUCGUUGUUGUGGGAGAAGCUGUGGUUGUUGUGGGUGAUGAUGUGGUUGUUGUUGGAGCCACUGUGGUUGUUGUUGGAUCAUCUAUGGUUGUUGUCGGAGCAGCUGUGGUUGUUGUUGGAAAAGCUGUGGUUGUUGUGGGAGCAACAGUGGUUCUUGUGGGAGCAGCUGUGGUUGUUAUGGGAACAGCUGUGGUUGUUGUGGGUGAUGAUGUGGUUGUUGUUGGAGCCACUGUGGUUGUUGUUGGAUCAUCUGUGGUUGUUGUCGGAGCAGCUGUGGUUGUUGUUGGAGCCACUGUGGUGGUUGUGGGAGGAUCUUCGGUUGUUGUGGGAGCAUCUUCGGUUGUUGUGGGUGGAUCUGUGGUUGUUGUGGGAGAAGCUGUGGUUGUUAUGGGAGAAGCAGUGGUUGUUGUUGGAGCCAAUGUCGUUGUUGUGGUUGCAGAUGUGGUUGUUGUUGGAGCUUCUGUAGUGGUUGUGGGAGCAUCUUUGGUUGUUGUGGGAGCAGCUGUGGUUGUUGUGGGUGCAUCUGUGGUUUUUGUGGGAGAAGCUGUGGUUGUUGUUGGAGCAGCUGUAGUUGUUUAUGGAACAUCUGUGGUUGUUGUGGGAGCAUCUUCGGUUGUUGUGGGAGCAUCUUCGGUUGUUGUGGGUGGAUCUGUGGUUGUUGUUGGAGCAGCUGUGGAUGUUGUGGGAGCAGCUGUGGUUGUUGUGGGAGCAACUGUGGUUGUUGUGGGAGCAUCUGUGGUUGUUGUGGGUGCAGAUGUGGUUGUUGUUGGAUCAUCUGGGGUUGUUGUUUUAGCAGCUAUGGUUGUUGUUGGAACAUCUGUGGUUGUUGUGGGAGCAGCUGUGGUUGUUGUGGGUGCAUCUGUGGUUGUUGUGGGAGAUUCUGUGAUUGUUGUCGGAGCAGCUGUGGUUGUUGUGGGAGAAGCUGUGUUUGUUGUGGGAGAAGCAGUGGUUGUUGUUGGAGCCACUGUAGUUGUUGUGGUUGCAGAUGUGGUUGUUGUUGGAGCCACUGUGGUUGUUGAUGGAACGUCUGAGGUGGUUGUCGGAGCAGCUGUGGUUGUUGUUGGAACAUCUGUGGUUGUUGUUGGAGCAGCUGUGGUUGUUGUUGGAACAUCUGUGGUUGUUGUGGGAGCAGAUGUGGUUGUUGUGGGUCCAUCUGUGGUUGUUGUGGGUGCAUCUGUGAUUGUUGUGGGAGAUUCUGUGGUUGUUGUCGGAGUAGCUGUGGUUGUUGUGGGAGAAGCUGUGUUUGUUGUGGGAGAAGCAGUGGUUGUUGUGGGAGAAGUAGUGGUUGUUGUUGGAGCCACCGUCGUUGCUGUUGGAGCCACUGUGGUUGUUGUUUGAAAGUCUGGGGUUGUUGUCGGAACAUCUGUGGUUGAUGUGGAAACAGCUGUGAUUGUUGUGGAAGCAACCGUCGUUGUUGUGGGAGAAGCUGUGGUUGUUGUGCGUGAUGAUGUGGUUGUUGUUGGAGCCACUGUGGUUGUUGUUGGAUCAUCUGUGGUUGUUGUCGGAGCAGCUGUGGUUGUUGUUGGAAAAGCUGUGGUUGUUGUGGGAGCAACCGGGGUUCUUGUGGGAGCAGCUGUGGUUGAUAUGGGAACAGCUGUGGUUGUUGUGGGAGAAAUUGUGGUUGUUGUGGUAGCAACCGUGGUUGUUGUGGGAGCAGCUGUGGUUGUUGUGGGAGAAGCUGUGGUUGUUAUGGGAGAAGCAGUGGUUGUUGUUGGAGCCAAUGUCGUUGUUGUGGUUGCAGAUGUGGUUGUUGUUGGAGCUUCUGUGGUUUUUGUGGGAGAAGCUGUGGUUGUUGUUGGGGCAGCUGUAGUUGUUUAUGGAACCUCUGUGGUUGUUGUGGGAACAGCUGUGGUUGUUAUGGGAGAAGCAGUGGUUGUUGUUGAAGCCAAUGUUGUUGUUGUGGCUGCAGAUGUGGAUGUUGUUGGAGCCACUGUGGUUGUUGUGGGAGCAGCUGUGGUUGUUGUUGGAACAUCUGUGGUUGUUGUGGGAGCAGCUGUGGUUGUUGUGGGAGCAGCUGUGGUUGUUGUGGGUGCAUCUGUGGUUGUUGUGGGUGCAUCUGUGGUUGUUGUGGGAAAUUCUGUGGUUGUUGUCGGAGCAGCUGUGGUUGUUGUGGGAGAAGCUGUGUUUGUUGUGGGAGAAGCAGUGGUUGUUGUGGGAGAAGUAGUGGUUGUUGUUGGAGCCACCGUCGUUGCUGUUGGAGCCACUGUGGUUGUUGUUUGAAAGUCUGGGGUUGUUUUCGGAGCAUCUGUGGUUGUUGUGGAAACAGCUGUGAUUGUUGUGGAAGCAACCGUGGUUGUUGUUGGAGCCACUUUGGUUGUUGUUGGAUCAUCUGUGGUUGUUGUCGGAGCAGCUGUGGUUGUUGUUGGAAAAGCUGUGGUUGUUGUGGGAGCAACCGUGGUUGUUGUGGGAGCAGCUGUCGUUGUUUUGGGAGCAGCUGUGGCUGUUGUGGGAGAAGCAGUGGUUGUUGUAGGAGCAGCUGUGGUUGUUGUUGGAGCAGCUGUUGUUGUUGUUGGAGCAGCUGUGGUUGUUGUUGGAACAGCUGUGGUUGUUAUGGGAGAAGCAGUGGUUGUUGUUGAAGCCAAUGUUGUUGUUGUGGCUGCAGAUGUGGAUGUUGUUGGAGCCACUGUGGUUGUUGUGGGAGCAGCUGUGGUUGUUGUGGGAGCAGCUGUGGUUGUUGUGGGUGGAUCUGUGGUUGUUGUUGGAGCAGCUGUGGUUGUUGUGGGAGCAGCUGUGGUUGUUGUGGGAGCAACCGUGGUUGUUGUGGGUACAGAUGUGGUUGUUUUUGGAUCAUCUGGGGUUGUUGUUGGAGCAGCUGUGGUUGUUGUUGGAACAUCUGUGGUUGUUGUUGGAGCAGUUGUGGUUGUUGUUGGAACAUCUGUGGUUGUUGUGGGAGCAGAUGUGGUUGUUGUGGGAGAAGCUGUGUUUGUUGUGGGAGAAGCAGUGGUUGUUGUUGGAGCCACUGUAGUUGUUGUGGUUGCAGAUGUGGUUGUUGUUGGAACAUCUGUGGUUGUUGUUGGAGCAGCUGUGGUUGUUGUUGGAACAUCUGUGGUUGUUGUGGGAGCAGCUGUGGUUGUUGUGGGAGCAGCUGUGGUUGUUGUGGGUGCAUCUGUGGUUGUUGUGGGUGCAUCUGUGGUUGUUGUGGGAAAUUCUGUGGUUGUUGUCGGAGCAGCUGUGGUUGUUGUCGGAGCAGCUGUGGUUGUUGUGGGAGAAGCUGUGUUUGUUGUGGGAGAAGCAGUGGUUGUUGUGGGAGAAGUAGUGGUUGUUGUUGGAGCCACCGUCGUUGCUGUUGGAGCCACUGUGGUUGUUGUUUGAAAGUCUGGGGUUGUUUUCGGAGCAUCUGUGGUUGUUGUGGAAACAGCUGUGAUUGUUGUGGAAGCAACCGUGGUUUUUGUUGGAGCCACUUUGGUUGUUGUUGGAUCAUCUGUGGUUGUUGUCGGAGCAGCUGUGGUUGUUGUUGGAAAAGCUGUGGUUGUUGUGGGAGCAACCGUGGUUGUUGUGGGAGCAGCUGUCGUUGUUUUGGGAGCAGCUGUGGCUGUUGUGGGAGAAGCAGUGGUUGUUGUAGGAGCAGCUGUGGUUGUUGUUGGAGCAGCUGUUGUUGUUGUUGGAGCAGCUGUGGUUGUUGUUGGAACAUCUGGGGUUGUUGUCGGAGCAGCUGUGGUUGUUGUGGGAAAAGCUGUGGUUGUUGUGGUAGCAACCGUGGUUGUUGUGGGAGCAGCUGUGGUUGUUGUGGGAGCAGCUGUUGUUGUUGUGGGAGAAGCUGUGGUUGUUAUGGGAGAAGCAGUGGUUGUUGUUGGAACCAAUGUCGUUGUUGUGGGUGCAGAUGUGGUUGUUGUUGGAGCUUCUGUAGUGGUUGUGGGAGCAUCUUUGGUUGUUGUGGGAGCAGCUGUGGUUGUUGUGGGUGCAUCUGUGGUUUUUGUGGGAGACGCUUUGGUUGUUGUUGGAGCAGCUGUAGUUGUUUAUUGAACAUCUGUGGUUGUUGUGGGAACAGCUGUGGUUGUUGUGGGAACAGCUGUGGUUGUUGUGGGAGAAGCAGUGGUUGUUGUUGAAGCCAGUGUUGUUGUUGUGGUUGCAGAUGUGGUUGUUGUUGGAGCUUCUGUAGUGGUUGUGGGAGCAUCUUCGGUUGUUGUGGGAGCAGCUGUGGUUGUUGUGGGUGGAUCUGUGGUUGUUGUUGGAGCCACUGUAGUUGUUGUGGUUGCAGAUGUGGUUGUUGUUGGAGCCACUGUGGUUGUUGAUGGAACGUCUGAGGUUGUUGUCGGAGCAUCUGUGAUUGUUGUUGGCACAUCUGUGGUUGUUGUUGGAGCAGCUGGGGUUGUUGUGGGUGCAUCUGUGGUUGUUGUGGGAAAUUCUGUGGUUGUUGUCGUAGCAGCUGUGGUUGUUGUGGGAGAAGCUGUGGUUGUUGUGGGUGCAUCUGUGGUUGUUAUUGGAGCCACUGUGGUUGUUGUUGGAGCCAAUAUUGUUGUUGUGGCUGCAGAUGUGGUUGAUGUUGGAGCCAAUGUGGUGGAUGUGGGAGCAUCUUCGGUUGUUGUGGGAGCAGCUGUGGUUGUUGUGGGUGCAUCUGUGGUUGUUGUUGGAGCAGCUGUGGUUGUUGUGGGAGCAGCUGGAGUUGUUGUGGGUGCAUCUGUGGUUGUUGUCGGAGCAGCUGUGGUUGUUGUGGGAGAAGCUGUGGUUGUUGUUGGAACAUCUGUGGUUGUUGUGGGAUCAGCUGUGGUUGUUGUGGGUGCAGCUGUGGUUGUUGUGGGUGCAUCUGUGGUUGUUGUGGGUGCAUCUGUGGUUGUUGUGGGAGAUUCUGUGGUUGUUGUCGGAGCAGCUGUGGUUGUUGUGGGAGAAGCUGUGUUUGUUGUUGGAGAAGCAGUGGUUGUUGUUGGAGCCACUGUAGUUGUUGUGGUUGCAGAUGUGGUUGUUGUUGGAGCCACUGUGGUUGUUGAUGGAACGUCUGAGGUUGUUGUCGGAGCAUCUGUGGUUGUUGUUGGAACAUCUGUGGUUGUUGUUGGAGCAGCUGGGGUUGUUGUGGGUGCAUCUGUGGUUGUUGUGGGAGAUUCUGUGGUUGUUGUCGGAGCAGCUGUGGUUGUUGUGGGAGAAGAUGUGGUUGUUGUGGGUGCAUCUGUGGUUGUUAUUGGAGCCACUGUGGUUGUUGUUGGAGCCAAUAUUGUUGUUGUGGAUGCAGAUGUGGUUGUUGUUGGAGCCAAUGUGGUGGAUGUGGGAGCAUCUUCGGUUGUUGUGGGAGCAGCUGUGGUUGUUGUGGGUGCAUCUGUGGUUGUUGUUGGAGCAGCUGUGGUUGUUGUGGGAGCAGCUGUGGUUGUUGUGGGUGCAUCUGUGGUUUAUUUGGGAGAUUCUGUGGUUGUUGUCGGAGCAGCUGUGGUUGUUGUGGGAGAAGCUGUGGUUGUUGUUGGAACAUCUGUGGUUGUUGUGGGAGCAGCUGUGGUUGUUGUGGGUGCAGCUGUGGUUGUUGUCGGUGCAUCUGUGGUUGUUGUCGGUGCAUCUGUGGUUGUUGUGGGUGCAUCUGUGGUUGUUGUGGGAGAUUCUGUGGUUGUUGUCGGAGCAGCUGUGGUUGUUGUGGGAGAAGCUGUGUUUGUUGUGGGAGAAGGAGUGGUUGUUGUUGGGGCCACUGUAGUUGUUGUGGUUGCAGAUGUGGUUGUUGUUGGAGCCACUGUGGUUGUUGAUGGAACGUCUGAGGUUGUUGUCGGAGCAGCUGUGGUUGUUGUUGGAACAUCUGUGGUUGUUGUUGGAGCAGCUGUGGUUGUUGUUGGAACAUCUGUGGUUGUUGUGGGAGCAGCUGUGGUUGUUGUGGGUGCAUCUGUGGUUGUUGCGGGAGAUUCUUUGGUUGUUGUCGGAGCAGCUGUGGUUGUUGUGGGAGAAGCUGUGUUUGUUGUGGGAGAAGGAGUGGUUGUUGUUGGGGCCACUGUAGUUGUUGUGGUUGCAGAUUUGGUUGUUAUUGGAACAUCUGUGGUUGUUGUGGGAGCAGCUGUGGUUGUUGUGGGUGCAUCUGUGGUUGUUGUGGGAGAUUCUGUGGUUGUUGUCGGAGCAGCUGUGGUUGUUGUGGGAGAAGCUGUGGUUGUUGUUGGAGCCACUGUAGUUGUUGUGGUUGCAGAUGUGGUUGUUGUUGGAGCCACUGUGGUUGUUGAUGGAACGUCUGAGGUUGUUGUCGGAGCAUCUGUGGUUGUUGUUGGAACAUCUGUGGUUGUUGUUGGAGCAGCUGGGGUUGUUGUGGGUGCAUCUGUGGUUGUUGUGGGAGAUUCUGUGGUUGUUGUCGGAGCAGCUGUGGUUGUUGUGGGAGAAGAUGUGGUUGUUGUGGGUGCAUCUGUGGUUGUUAUUGGAGCCACUGUGGUUGUUGUUGGAGCCAAUAUUGUUGUUGUGGAUGCAGAUGUGGUUGUUGUUGGAGCCAAUGUGGUGGAUGUGGGAGCAUCUUCGGUUGUUGUGGGAGCAGCUGUGGUUGUUGUGGGUGCAUCUGUGGUUGUUGUUGGAGCAGCUGUGGUUGUUGUGGGAGCAGCUGUGGUUGUUGUGGGUGCAUCUGUGGUUGUUGUGGGAGAUUCUGUGGUUGUUGUCGGAGCAGCUGUGGUUGUGGUGGGAGAAGCUGUGGUUGUUGUCGGAACAUCUGUGGUUGUUGUGGGAGCAGCUGUGGUUGUUGUGGGUGCAUCUGUGGUUGUUGUUGGAGCCACUGUGGUUGUUGUGGGAGCCAAUGUUGUUGUUGUGGCUGCAGAUGUGGAUGUUGUUGGAGCCACUGUGUUGGUUGUGGGAGCAUCUUCGGUUGUUGUGGGAGCAGCUGUGGUUGUUGUGGGUGGAUCUGUGGUUGUUGUUGGAGCAGCUGUGGUUGUUGUGGGAGAAGCUGUGGUUGUUGUGGGAGCAACCGUGGUUGUUGUGGAAGCAUCUGUGGUUGUUGUGGGUGCAGAUGUGGUUGUUGUUUGAUCAUCUGUGGUUGUUGUUGGAGCAGCUGUGGUUGUUGUUGGAACAUCUGUGGUUGUUGUGAGAGCAGCUGUGGUUGUUGUGGGUGCAUCUGUGGUUGUUGUGGGAGAUUCUGUGGUUGUUGUCGGAGCAGCUGUGGUUGUUGUGGGAGAAGCUGUGUUUGUUGUGGGAGAAGCAGUGGUUGUUGUUGGAGCCAAUGUAGUUGUUGUGGUUGCAGAUGUGGUUGUUGUUGAUGGAACGUCUGAGGAUGUUGUCGGAGCAGCUGUGGUUGUUGUUGGAACAUCUGUGGUUGUUGUUGGAGCAGCUGUGGUUGUUGUUGGAACAUCUGUGGUUGUUGUGGGAGCAGCUGUGGUUGUUGUGGGUGCAUCUGUGGUUGUUGUGGGAGAUUCUGUGGUUGUUGUCGGAGCAGCUGUGGUUGUUGUGGGAGAAGCUGUGGUUGUUGUUGGAACAUCUGUGGUUGUUGUGGGAUCAGCUGUGGUUGUUGUGGGUGCAUCUGUGGUUGUUGUUGGAGCCACUGUGGUUGUUGUUUGAGCCAAUGUUGUUGUUGUGGCUGCAGAUGUGGAUGUUGUUGGAGCCACUGUGGUGGAUGUGGGAGCAUCUUCGUUUGUUGUGGGAGGAGCUGUGGUUGUUGUGGGUGGAUCUGCUGUUGUUGUUGGAGCAGCUGUGGUUCUUGAGGGAGAAGCUGUGGUUGUUGUGGGAGCAACCGUGGUUGUUGUGGGAGCAGCUGUGGUUGUUGUGGAUGCAAUUGUGGUUGUUGUUGGAGCAGCUGUGGUUGUUGUUGGAGCAGCUGUGGUUGUUGUUGGAGCCACUGUGGUGGAUGUGGGAGCAUCUUCGGUUGUUGUGGGAGCAGCUGUGGUUGUUGUGGGUGCAUCUGUGGUUGUUGUUGGAGCAGCUGUGGUUGUUGUGGGAGCAGCUGAAGUUGUUGUGGGUGCAUCUGUGGUUGUUGUGGGAGCCACUGUGGUUGUUGUUGGAGCCAAUGUUGUUGUUGUGGCUGCAGAUGUGGUUGUUGUUGGAGCCACUGUGGUGGAUGUGGGAGCAUCUUCAGUUGUUGUGGGAGCAGCUGUGGUUGUUGUGGGUGGAUCUGUGGUUGUUGUUGGAGCAGCUGUGGUUGUUGUGGGAGAAGCUGUGGUUGUUGUGGGAGCAGCCGUGGUUGUUGUUGGAGCAGCUGUGGUUGUUGUUGGAACAUCUGUGGUUGUUGUGGGAGAAGCUGUGUUUGUUGUGGGAGAAGAAGUGGUUGUUGUUGGAGCCACUGUAGUUGUUGUUGUUGCAGAUAUGGUUGUUGUUGGAGCCACUGUGGUUGUUGAUGGAACGUCUGAGGUUGUUGUCGGAGCAGCUGUGGUUGUUGUUGGAACAUCUGUGGUUGUUGUUGUAGCAGCUGGGGUUGUUGUGGGUGCAUCUGUGGUUGUUGUGUGAGAUUCUGUGGUUGUUGUCGGAGCAGCUUUGGUUGUUGUGGGAGAAGCUGUGGUUGUUGUUGGAACAUCUGUGGUUGUUGUGGGAGCAGCUGUGGUUGUUGUGGGUGCAUCUGUGGUUGUUGUUGGAGCCACUGUGGUGGUUGUGGGAGCAUCUUCGGUUGUUGUGGGAGCAGCUGUGGUUGUUGUGGGUGGAUCUGUGGUUGUUGUUGGAGCAGCUGUGGUGGUUGUGGGAGAAGCUGUGGUUGUUGUGGGAGCAACCGUGGUUGUUGUGGAAGCAUCUGUGGUUGUUGUGGGUGCAGAUGUGGUUGUUGUUGGAUCAUCUGGGGUUGUUGUUGGAGCAGCUGUGGUUAUUGUUGGAACAUCUGUGGUUGUUGUGAGAGCAGCUGUGUUUGUUGUGGGUGCAUCUGUGGUCGUUGUGGGAGAUUCUGUGGUUGUUGUCGGAGCAGCUGUGGUUGUUGUGGGAGAAGCUGUGUUUGUUGUGGGAGAAGCAGUGGUUGUUGUUGGAGCCACUGUAGUUGUUGUGGUUGCAGAUGUGGUUGUUGUUGAUGGAACGUCUGAGGAUGUUGUCGGAGCAGCUGUGGUUGUUGUUGGAACAGCUGUGGUUGUUGUUGGAGCAGCUGUGGUUGUUGUUGGAACAUCUGUGGUUGUUGUGGGAGCAGCUGUGGUUGUUGUGGGUGCAUCUGUGGUUGUUGUGGAAGAAUCUGUGGUUGUUGUCGGAGUAGCUGUGGUUGUUGUGGGAGAAGCUGUGGUUGUUGUUGGAACAUCUGUGGUUGUUGUGGGAUCAGCUGUGGUUGUUGUGGGUGCAUCUCUGGUUGUUUUUGGAGCCACUGUGGUUGUUGUUGGAGCCAAUGUUGUUGUUGUGGCUGCAGAUGUGGAUGUUGUUGGAGCCACUGUGGUGGAUGUGGGAGCAUCUUCGGUUGUUGUGAGAGGAGCUGUGGUUGUUGUGGGUGGAUCUGUUGUUGUUGUUGGAGCAGCUGUGGUUCUUGUGGGAGAAGCUGUGGUUGUUGUGGGAGCAACCGUGGUUGUUGUGGGAGCAGCUGUGGUUGUUGUGGGUGCAAUUGUGGUUGUUGUUGGAGCAGCUGUGGUUGUUGUGGGAGCAGCUGUGGUUGUUGUGUGUGCAAUUGUGGUUGUUGUUGGAGCAGCUGUGGUUGUUGUGGUUGCAGAUGUGGUUGUUGUUGGAGCCACUGUGGUUAUUGAUGGAACGUCUAAGGUUGUUGUCGGAGCAGCUGUGGUUGUUGUUGGAACAUCUGUGGUUGUUGUUGGAGCAGCUGUGGUUGUUGUUGGAACAUCUGUGGUUGUUGUGGGAACAGCUGUGGUUGUUGUGGGUGCAUCUGUGUUUGUUGUGGGAGAUUCUGUGGUUGUUGUCGGAGCAGCUGUGGUUGUUGUGGGAGAAGCUGUGUUUGUUGUGGGAGAAGCAGUGGUUGUUGUUGGAGCCACUGUGGUUGUUGUGGGUGGAGAUGUGGUUGUUGUUGGAACAGCUGUGGUUGUUGUGGGUGAAGAUGUGGUUGUUGUUGGAACAGCUGUGGUUGUUGUGGGAGAAGCAGUAAUUGUUGGGAGAGCAGCUGUGGUUGUUAUGGUAGCAGCUGUGGUUGUUCUGGGAGAAGCUGUGGUUGUUGUUGGAGAAGCUGUGGUUGUUGUUAGAACAUCUGGGGUUGUUGUCAGAGAAUCUGUGGUUGUUGUGGGAACAGCUGUGGUUGUUGUGGAAGCAACUGUGAUUGUUGUAUCCACAGCUGAAGUUGGAGUUGAGGCUGCUGGGGGUUGUGUUGGUGCAAUGACCUCUGUAAUUAUGAAAUGGAUGUUAGGUAUUUUAUUCUUAUUGGUCCAAUGGUGUUCUAUAGGAUUUCAUUAUACCUGAAACGUUGUAACUGUACAGUGGCUAAAAAUUGUGUACAACUCUAAACAAAUUGACAAAAAAUCCAGUCAACAAAGUUACAGACGUUUCAUCAAGUGUUGAGGACGUAGGGUUACUCAGUUUUGCUUCUUGUUGUUAAGCUUAAGAUAAGAAGGUAUUGGGUUUUCUCUUCAGAAGUAAACAUUUUUACAACCACAUUUGUUAGAUUGUUUUCUAUGUCAAAUAGCAAAAAUAAAAGACUGAUAAUCAACUCCAGGCUGCGUAGUUAAAUGGAAAUGACCGACUUCACCUGUUUGGUAUCAUAUCACACCC
rnacentral:lncRNA from 1 species